rnacentral:rRNA from 1 species
GACGAACGCUGGCGGCGUGCUUAACACAUGCAAGUCGAACGGAAAGGCCCUGCUUUUGUGGGGUGCUCGAGUGGCGAUCGGGUGAGUAACACGUGAGUAACCUGCCCUUGACUUUGGGAUAACUUCAGGAAACUGGGGCUAAUACAGGAUAGGAGCUCCUGCUGCAUGGUGGGGGUUGGAAAGUUUCGGCGGUAGGGGAUGGACUCGCGGCUUAUCAGCUUGUUGGUGGGGUAGUGGCUUACCAAGGCUUUGACGGGUAGCCGGCCUGAGAGGGUGACCGGCCUCCAGGCGACUACGGUACGGCGCAGACUCCUACGUGGGGCAGCAGUGGGGAGUCUUGCACAAUGGGCGGAAGCCGGAUGCAGCAACGCCGCGUGCGUGAUGACGUCCUUCGGGUUGUAAACCGCUUUCGCCUGUUACGAAGCGGGAGUGACGGUAAUGAGUAAAUAAGCACCGGCUAACUACGUG